AGGGUUUGAUUCUGGCUCAGGACGAACGCUGGCGGCGCGCCUAACACAUGCAAGUCGAACGAGAGAUGAGGAGCUUGCUCUUCAAAUCGAGUGGCGAACGGGUGAGUAACGCGUGAGGAACCUGCCUCAAAGAGGGGGACAACAGUUGGAAACGACUGCUAAUACCGCAUAAGCCCACGGCUCGGCAUCGAGCAGAGGGAAAAGGAGUGAUCCGCUUUGAGGUGGCCUCGCGUCCGAUUAGCUGGUUGGUGAGGUAACGGCCCACCUAGUCUUCGAUGGAUAGGGGUUCUGAGAGGAAGGUCCCCCACAUUGGAACUGAGACACGGUCCAA
rnacentral:rRNA from 1 species